AAAAAGGCAAACCCUGGGUUUCCGUGUCCAACUUUGACUGUCCGUCUUAUAUGAAAUUUUUUUAUAAUUCGUAUUUUUAUUAUUGUUAGAUGAUAAAAUAUGAUUAAUAUUUUAUGUGUGACUUGUCUUUUUAAUUUUUUUUAUAUUUUUUUCAAAUAAGACGGACGGUCAAACGUUGGACACGGAAACCAGGGUUUGUCUUUUU
rnacentral:pre_miRNA from 1 species